ensembl:ncRNA lncRNA:CR46114 long non-coding RNA:CR46114
AUUUAGAAACAAGGUUCGUUUACCCCGACACCGCUGUUACCACCACUGUCAACGCGAAGGUGGUGUCCAAUGAGCAUUCCCAAUAUAUGUCUGCCGAGGGACUAAACGAAGCAACCAGCCAGCGUCUAAGCGCCAACAAAUGAACCAUAAAAUCCAAACGUGCCGGGGAAAACAGAGCGGAUAGCGCUCCGUGUUGUCUAAGCCAAAGUGGCUAACACGUUGCCCAAAUUGAAUGAACACACACAUACACACACACACAGCCAGCUAGCCAGGUGUGUGGACUGACUGGUCUGUCUUGGCCUGGCCUGUAUGUUAAGUCAGCCAGUCAGCCAGUCAGCCAAACAGUCCAGGCCAAUUCCCAAAUCGAUAAUCAAUAUGGCGAGCCGGCAGAGGAACCCACCCACGCUGGCACGCUUCAUUUUCCACCGGCUGGUAAUAAAGCCGUCAAAAAGGCAAAAGGUGUUGAAAGGAUCCACGAAAUAUGGCUAAGGUGGGAAUAGUUGCAGCCACCACCAUCGCCGCCAAUCAGAGCCAACUAACCCAAUGUGAAUAUUUGUGACUCUCUUUGGGUAAUUGACGAUGGUCCGGCACCUGACCAGACGGAAUAACAGCACUCAGACUCAGGGCUGUGACCAGACCAGACCAGGUUGAAUAAUUCAGUGGAAUGGCAUUGGAAUGUAUCGGAAUUAAGGCAAAGGACACGUAGAACCAAUCAAUUGCAGCUGAGGAAUGUUUCUGUUUCUGGGACAGGUUUAAUGCACUUUUAAUAAUAAGGAGCAGUCGCUAAAACCUCUUGGAAUCCAAUGCCAAUAUUUGUUGAGAACUUGUGUUCCCUGCCCACUUCCAUUCAAGAUGACACUCUUUUCUCAAGCUAAAUAAUCAAC